rnacentral:lncRNA from 1 species
UUCUGGUCCCCUUCUUCGGGCUAAAUUGGCUAAGAAUGCCUUUUUGCAGCUAAUUAUGUCAUUUCGAGGAUAAUUAGCUAAGUAUAGGUCAUUUUUUAUUAAAUAGGACAUUUUGGAGCUAACUAAGCUAAUUAUGUCAUUUCGUAGGAUAAUUAGCCAAGUUAGCCUUUCUUGGAUAAGUCUAAGCUACGUAGAAGAAGAGAUAGAGAAGAAGA